UCGGGCACUUGAGAAAGAAGGAGCCGAAUAUGAGGAUCGAUAUGUGGAAAGGAUGAAACAAGGAAGUUUGGUUUUCUUGGAUAUUGGGAAUAUGGUGUUGAUGCUGCCCAUUUUG
rnacentral:ribozyme from 1 species